UACGGAGGAUGCAAGCGUUAUCCGGAUUUAUUGGGUUUAAAGGGUGCGCAGGUUGUUUGAUAAGUCAGUGGUGAAAGUCUGUCGCUUAACGGUAGGAUUGCCAUUGAUACUGUUAGACUUGAAUAUGGAUGAGGUAGGCGGAAUGUGUAGUGUAGCGGUGAAAUGCAUAGAUAUUACACAGAACACCGAUUGCGGAGGCAGCUUACUAAUCCAUCAUUGACGCUGAGGCACGAAAGCGUGGGGAUCAAACA
rnacentral:rRNA from 1 species